rnacentral:tRNA from 1 species
UAAUUAAUGAACUUGAUAUAAGUAUAUAUUUUGAAAAUAUAAUAAAGAAUUCAUUUUCUAUUAAUU